GACGAACGCUGGCGGCGUGCUUAACACAUGCAAGUCGAACGGGAAGGCCCUGCUUUUGUGCGUUUCCCAAGUUGCGAACGGAUGAGGAACACGUAAGUAACCUCACCUUGACUUUGGGAUAACUUCAGCAACCUGGGACGAAUGCCGGAUAGGAGCUCCUGCUGCAUGUUGGGUGUUGGAAAGUUUCGGCGGUUGGGGAUGGUCUGGCGGGUUAGCAGCUUGUGGGUGUGGUAGUGGCUUACCAAGGCUUUGACGGGUAGCCGGACUGAGAGGGUGACCGGCCCCAUUGGGACUGAGAUACGGGCAAGGGUGCUACGGGAGGCAGCAGUGGGAACUUGUGGACGAUGCGCGGCAGCCUUGUGGAGGAACGCCGGGUGCUGGAUGACGGCCUUCGGGUUGUAAACCGCUUUCGCCUGUGACGCAGCGUGAGUGACGGUAAUGUGUAAAGAAGCCACGGCUAACUACGUG
rnacentral:rRNA from 1 species